rnacentral:rRNA from 1 species
GCAACGCCGCGUGAAGGAUGAAGGUCUUCGGAUCGUAAACUUCUUUUGUUAGGGAACAAUUUUGAGCGUACCUAACGAAUAAGUCACGGCUAAUCACGUGCCAGCAGCCGCGGUAAUACGUGAGUGGCUAGCGUUAUCCGGAAUUAUUGGGCGUAAAGCGUCAGUAGGAGGUUUGUUAAGUGAGAUGUAAAAGCCUUUGGCUUAACCAAGGGACGGCAUCUCAUACUGGCAAGCUAGAGGAAGGUAGAGGCAAACGGAAUUCUCGGAGUAGGGGUAAUAUCCGUAGAGCCCGAGAGGAACACCAAUAGCGAAGGCAGUUAGCUGGACCUUUCCUGACUCUCAGUGACGAAAGCGUGGGGAGCGAACCGGAUUAGAUACCCGGGUAGUCCACGCCGUAAACUAUGGGUACUUGGUGCAGGUGGUAUCGAUCCCUUCUGUGCCUAAGCUAACGCGUUAAGUACCCCGCCUGGGGAGUACGGCCGCAAGGCUAAAACUCAAAGGAAUUGACGGGGAUCCACACAAGCGGUGGAGCAUGUGGUUUAAUUCGACGAUAAGCGAGGAACCUUACCUAGGCUUGACAUCUCGGGAACCCUUUGGAAACAAGGGGGUGCCCCUCGGGGAACCCGAUGACAGGUGCUGCAUGGUCGUCGUCAGCUCGUGCCGUGAGGUGUACGGUUAAGUCCGAUAACGAGCGCAACCCUUGUCACUAGUUGUAUUUCUCUAGUGAGACUGCCUCCGUAAGGAGGAGGAAGGUGGGGAUGACGUCAGAUCAGCAUGGCUCUUACGCCUAGGGCUACACACGUGCUACAAUGGGGUAUACAAUGGGUAGCCAACCCGCGAGGGGGAGCUAAUCUCAUCAAAGUACCUCCAAGUUCGGAUUGAAGGCUGCAAUUCGCCUUCAUGAAGUUGGAAUCGCUAGUAAC